GAUGAACGCUGGCGGCGUGCCUAAUACAUGCAAGUCGAGCGAACAGACGAGGAGCUUGCUCCUCUGACGUUAGCGGCGGACGGGUGAGUAACACGUGGAUAACCUACCUAUAAGACUGGGAUAACUUCGGGAAACCGGAGCUAAUACCGGAUAAUAUAUUGAACCGCAUGGUUCAAUAGUGAAAGACGGUUUUGCUGUCACUUAUAGAUGGAUCCGCGCCGCAUUAGCUAGUUGGUAAGGUAACGGCUUACCAAGGCGACGAUGCGUAGCCGACCUGAGAGGGUGAUCGGCCACACUGGAACUGAGACACGGUCCAGACUCCUACGGGAGGCAGCAGUAGGGAAUCUUCCGCAAUGGGCGAAAGCCUGACGGAGCAACGCCGCGUGAGUGAUGAAGGUCUUCGGAUCGUAAAACUCUGUUAUUAGGGAAGAAAAAAUGUGUAAGUAAAUAUGCACGUCUUGACGGUACCUAAUCAGAAAGCCACGGCUAACUACGUG
rnacentral:rRNA from 1 species